rnacentral:tRNA from 1 species
GUUCCGGUAACUCAAUUGGUAAGAGUAAUCCACUCAUAAUGGAAAGGUUAUAGGUUCGAAUCCUAUCCGGAACACCA